AUUGAACGCUGGCGGCAGGCCUAACACAUGCAAGUCGAACGGUAACAGGAAGCAGCUUGCUGCUUUGCUGACGAGUGGCGGACGGGUGAGUAAUGUCUGGGAAACUGCCUGAUGGAGGGGGAUAACUACUGGAAACGGUAGCUAAUACCGCAUAACGUCGCAAGACCAAAGAGGGGGACCUUCGGGCCUCUUGCCAUCGGAUGUGCCCAGAUGGGAUUAGCUAGUAGGUGGGGUAAAGGCUCACCUAGGCGACGAUCCCUAGCUGGUCUGAGAGGAUGACCAGCCACACUGGAACUGAGACACGGUCCAGACUCCUACGGGAGGCAGCAGUGGGGAAUAUUGCACAAUGGGCGCAAGCCUGAUGCAGCCAUGCCGCGUGUAUGAAGAAGGCCUUCGGGUUGUAAAGUACUUUCAGCGGGGAGGAAGGGAGUAAAGUUAAUACCUUUGCUCAUUGACGUUACCCGCAGAAGAAACACCGGCUAACUCCGU
rnacentral:rRNA from 1 species